CAUGAUCAGCCACACGGGCACUGAGACACGGGCCCGACUCCUACGGGAGGCAGCAGUAAGGAAUAUUGGUCAAUGGACGCAAGUCUGAACCAGCCAUGCCGCGUGAAGGAUGAAGGUCCUCUGGAUUGUAAACUUCUUUUAUAGGGGGCGAAAAAAGGUUUUUCUAAAUCACUUGACAGUACCCUAUGAAUAAGCACCGGCUAACUCCGUGCCAGCAGCCGCGGUAAUACGGAGGGUGCAAGCGUUAUCCGGAUUCACUGGGUUUAAAGGGUGCGUAGGCGGGUAGGUAAGUCAGAGGUGAAAUCCUGGAGCUUAACUCCAGAACUGCCUUUGAUACUAUCUAUCUUGAAUAUGGUGGAGGUAAGCGGAAUAUGUCAUGUAGCGGUGAAAUGCAUAGAUAUGACAUAGAACNCCUAUUGCGAAGGCAGCUUACUACGCCUAUAUUGACGCUGAGGCACGAAAGCGUGGGGAUCAAACAGGAUUAGAUACCCUGGUAGUCA
rnacentral:rRNA from 1 species